rnacentral:misc_RNA from 1 species
GAAAUGCGAUAAGUAAUGUGAAUUGCAGAAUUCAGUGAAUCAUCGAAUCUUUGAACGCACAUUGCGCCCGCCAGCAUUCUGGCGGGCAUGCCUGCCCGAGCGUCAUUUCACCACUCAAGCCUCGCUUGGUAUUGGGCGACGCGGUCCGCCGCGCGCCUCAAAUCGACCGGCUGGGUCUUUCGUCCCCUCAGCGUUGUGGAAACUAUUCGCUAAAGGGUGCCGCGGGAGGCCACGCCGUAAAACAACCCCAUUUCUAAGGUUGACCUCGGAUCAGGUAGGGAUACCCGCUGAACUUAAGC